rnacentral:rRNA from 1 species
AUUGAACGCUGGCGGCAUGCUUUACACAUGCAAGUCGAACGGUAACAGGCCGCAAGGUGCUGACGAGUGGCAAACGGGUGAGUAAUGCAUCGGAACGUGCCCAGUCGUGGGGGAUAACUACUCGAAAGAGUAGCUAAUACCGCAUACGAUCUAUGGAUGAAAGCGGGGGACCGUAAGGCCUCGCGCGAUUGGAGCGGCCGAUGUCAGAUUAGGUAGUUGGUGGGGUAAAGGCUCACCAAGCCAACGAUCUGUAGCUGGUCUGAGAGGACAACCAGCCACACUGGGACUGAGACACGGCCCAGACUCCUACGGGAGGCAGCAGUGGGGAAUUUUGGACAAUGGGCGCAAGCCAGAUCCAGCAAUGCCGCGUGCAGGAAGAAGGCCUUCGGGUUGUAAACUGCUUUUGUACGGAACGAAACGGCUCUGGUUAAUACCCGGGGCUAAUGACGGUACCGUAAGAAUAAGCACCGGCUAACUACGUG